CCAUGGCUCAGAUUGAACGCUGGCGGCAGGCCUAACACAUGCAAGUCGAGCGGAUGACAGGAGCUUGCUCCUGAAUUCAGCGGCGGACGGGUGAGUAAUGCCUAGGAAUCUGCCUGGUAGUGGGGGACAACGUUUCGAAAGGAACGCUAAUACCGCAUACGUCCUACGGGAGAAAGCAGGGGACCUUCGGGCCUUGCGCUAUCAGAUGAGCCUAGGUCGGAUUAGCUAGUUGGUGAGGUAAUGGCUCACCAAGGCGACGAUCCGUAACUGGUCUGAGAGGAUGAUCAGUCACACUGGAACUGAGACACGGUCCAGACUCCUACGGGAGGCAGCAGUGGGGAAUAUUGGACAAUGGGCGAAAGCCUGAUCCAGCCAUGCCGCGUGUGUGAAGAAGGUCUUCGGAUUGUAAAGCACUUUAAGUUGGGAGGAAGGGCAUUAACCUAAUACGUUAGUGUUUUGACGUUACCGACAGAAUAAGCACCGGCUA
rnacentral:rRNA from 1 species